GCAGUAUUCAAUAUAUGGCUGGAGGGAGCCAGAGUCAGUGUUUAGCGGUGAUGGACAUGCUGAGUCAUCAUGAAGUUGUGGCAGGAUAGCAUAAUGUUUGGCAAAAGUAUAGUCUGAAGACCAUGUUGCUGCCCGGUAAAUGUCUCUUAAGGGAACAUUGUUCAAAAAGGCUGUGGAAGCAGCCGUAGUUCAAGUGAAAUGUGCUCAUGGUGGGCAUUGUUGCAGUUUAUUGCCCAGGGUGUAACAUCUGACUAUACCUGUCGAUAUCCACUUUGAAAUUCAUUGAGAUGAGAUGGGUGCUCCCUUGGAUCGUUCAGCAAUAGAGAUAAAAAGUCUUCAAGAUUUACAGAAUGGUUUUGUUCUUUCCAGGAAGAAGGCCAAAGCCCGUCAAAUGUCCAAAGUAUGUAAACUGGCAUCCUUUUGUGAAGCAAGUGGUUUUGGGGAAAAGGUGUAAACAGUUGCUACCCAGAGUUGAAAGCAUCGAAAGUGUAGGCGAACGUGGUGAACUACAUAGGUGGUGGAAGCCAUGUGUCCCAUUAGUCGGAGGCAG